GGAAAGUUGUUUUUUUUUUUUUUUCCCCUUUUUUAUGCUCUGUGUGUUAUGUGUCAAGGUUUUAGAUGUGAGUCCUUCAAAAUUGUCAGACUUCAUUUCCCUCCAGCUGUUUUGGAGCUGAUUUUCCAACUUCUUCCACAAAAAACAACAUUUCUGGACAGGGCAGUGUGGAGAAAUCCUAAGAGAAAUAGCAUAAGAGCAUUUUUGGAAUAUAUCCCGGAAAAGAUAACUUUCUACACAUCUGUAGAGAUUCGCCUGGUUAAGUAUGGGCCAGUGUACUAGAGGAUGGAAAGAAAAAAAAGAAGGCUGGCAACUGAAUUGAGAAAUGGAGGUAUUGAGAGAACCAUGCAAUAAUAAGAGGUCAUAAUCUAAUUAUCAAUGAAAUCUUGCUUCAGCCCUUGUUUUACAAGUAAGAAGUGUAAAUUGUCUGAAACAACAGCUUAAAGACAGAUUCAGGUUUCUGAAUAAUCAAUUGGUAAUGUCAGGAAAGUGUCCACAAAGCUCCAACAGUGGGGUGAGGAAUGACACCUUUACAAAAAAGAGUGUGCUCUUUGUGCCACAUCUUAUCAGGUUGGAAGAUUUAAACUUUUGUUUUUUUUAAGAUUUUAUUUAUUUAUUUAACAGAGAGAGAUCACAAGUAGGCAGAGAGGCAGACAGAAGGGGAAGCAGGCAGAGGGGGAGACCGAG
rnacentral:lncRNA from 1 species